GACAGAGGGUGCAAACGUUGCUCGGAAUUACUGGGCGUAAAGGGCGCGUAGGCGGUUCGUUAAGUCCUGUGUGAAAUCCCCCGGCUCAACUGGGGAACUGCACAGGAAACUAGCGGGCUUGAGUUCGGGAAAGGGAGGCGGAAUUCCGGGUGUAGCGGUGAAAUGCGUAGAUAUCCGGAGGAACACCGGUGGCGAAGGCGGCUUCCUGGACCGACACUGACGCUGAGGCGCGAAAGCUAGGGGAGCAAACGGG
rnacentral:rRNA from 1 species